UGCCCUUUUUCUCUUAUGGGAUAUCCAAGAGCUUGUAUAGAGUCCUUAAGUGGGUUCCCUAUCGGUAGGAGAAACUAAAAGGGGCCAGCCAGAGAAUAUUCGGAAGCAAAGCAGCAGGGUGAAUACCAGCUUGGAUCCACACUUGUGUGUGAACUGACCCUGAAUCACAUGUUAUCCGUACAAGUUGAGAUGCACCUGCUCCCCUGCCCUGCACACAGGAUUCAUGGCCAGACUAGACUAACAUCUUGCCUGGAUCAUCCAAAGGAAUCUCCCUUGUCUUUUCCUAGCAGGAAGAUGAUAUUGCCAAAAGAGAAGAAGAAUCAUAGUCAUAGAGUUGGAAGAGACCACAAGGGCCAUCCAG